rnacentral:lncRNA from 1 species
UUGUAAAGAGCUCCACAUAUACACUUUUUGUCUCCUUUUCUUUUGAACAAAAUGUAUUAACAAAUCAAAUAUACAAAAUUUUCCUCUGGAAAUAAUUACAAAAUCUCUCAGAUGCUUUAGCGUAGAGCUUCCAGAUAGAUCAUUCAUGUUUUCAUUGUAGGAUCUGCCCAAGAAUCACACAAUACUUGCAAUUUUGACACCUUAUUAGAUCAGAAGUGUCAUCAGAUAUAGAAAAAUAUUUUUCCUUUUAUUGAAGUGUUUUUUAUGAAUGCAGGGGAGGGGGAAAACAAAAGAAAAAUACCCAGAGUUAGUAGGCAAAACUGCAAAAUCGGUAUGCAUGUCCUAUGGGGGAACCCUUUUUGUGCCAAGGGUAGGCCUAGCAUGAAAAUGCAAUCCGCUAGAGUAGGCACUAUACCAUACCUGAUGGAUCUG